AUACGGAGGGGGUUAGCGUUGUUCGGAAUUACUGGGCGUAAAGCGCACGUAGGCGGAUUGAUUAGUUAGAGGUGAAAUCCCAGGGCUCAACCCUGGAACUGCCUUUAAUACUGUCAGUCUAGAGAUCGAGAGAGGUGAGUGGAAUUCCUAGUGUAGAGGUGAAAUACGUAGAUAUUAGGAGGAACACCAGUGGCGAAGGCGGCUCACUGGCUCGAUACUGACGCUGAGGUGCGAAAGCGUGGGGAGCAAACAGGAUUAGAAACCCUAGUAGUCC
rnacentral:rRNA from 1 species